UACGUAGGGGGCGAGCGUUGUCCGGAUUUAUUGGGCGUAAAGAGCUCGUAGGCGGCUUGGCAAGUCGGGUGUGAAACCUCCAGGCUCAACCUGGAGACGCCACUCGAUACUGCCAUGGCUAGAGUCCGGUAGGGGAGACUGGAAUUCCUGGUGUAGCGGUGAAAUGCGCAGAUAUCAGGAGGAACACCGGUGGCGAAGGCGAGUCCCUGGACAACUUCUGACGCUGAGGCACGAAAGCUAGGGGAGCAAACAGG
rnacentral:rRNA from 1 species